UGCAUGCUCGAGCGGCCGCCAGUGUGAUGGAUAUCUGCAGAAUUCGCCCUUGGAUUAGGCAUGCAAGUCGAACGAGGAUAUAUCCUUCGGGAUAUAAGCCGAGUGGCGCAAGGGUGAGUAAUGCAUAGAUUACCUGCCUCUAGGAUAAGGACAACUUUGUGAAAACGAAGCUAAUACUUAAUAAUACAAAAGAGAAUAAUUCUCUUUUGUCAAUGGGAGGGUAGCAAUACCUUUUGCCUAGAGAGGGGUUUAUGUCCUAUCAGCUUGUUGGUGGGGUAAUGGCCUACCAAGGCGAAGACGGGUAGCCGGUCUUAGAGGAUAGUCGGCCACACUGGGACUGAGACACUGCCCAGACUUCUACGGAAGGCUGCAGUCGAGAAUCUUUCGCAAUGCCCGAAAGGGUGACGAAGCGACGCCGCGUGAGUGAGGAAGGCCUUCGGGUUGUAAAGCUCUGUCAGGAGUUAAGAAAUAUAAGUGUGCUAAUACCACAUUUAUUUGACGAAGGCUCCAAAGGAAGCCACGGCUAACUCUGUGCCAGCAGCCGCGGUAAUACAGAGGUGGCAAGCGUUGUUCGGAAUUAUUGGGCGUAAAGAGCACGUAGGUGGGUUUGUAAGUCAGAUGUGAAAGCCUUCUGUUCAACGGAAGAAUUGCAUCUGAAACUACAAGUCUUGAGUGUAGGGAGGGGAGAAUGGAACUUCUGGUGGAGCGGUGAAAUGCGUAGAUAUCAGAAGGAACGCCGGCGGCGAAAGCGAUUCUCUGGCCUAUUACUGACACUCAGUGUGCGAAAGCUAGGGGAGCAAACGGGAUUAGAUACCC
rnacentral:rRNA from 1 species